UUUGAAACUCAAAGGAAUUGACGGGGGCCCGCGCAAGCGGUGGAUUAUGUGGUUUAAUUCGAUGAUACGCGAGGAACCUUACCAAGGCUUAAAUGAGAAUUGAUCGGUUUAGAAAUAGACCUUCCUUCGGGCUAUUUUCAAGGUGCUGCAUGGUUGUCGUCAGCUCGUGCCGUGAGGUGUUAGGUUAAGUCCUGCAACGAGCGCAACCCCUGUCACUAGUUGCCAUCAUUCAGUUGGGGACUCUAGUGAGACUGCCUACGCAAGUAGAGAGGAAGGUGGGGAUGACGUCAAAUCAUCACGGCCCUUACGCCUUGGGCCACACACGUAAUACGAUGGCCGGUACAGAGGGCAGCUACACAGCGAUGUGAUGCAAAUCUCGAAAGCCGGUCUCAGUUCGGAUUGGAGUCUGCAACUCGACUCUAUGAAGCUGGAAUCGCUAGUAAUCGCGCAUCAGCCAUGGCGCGGUGAAUACGUUUCCGGGCCUUGUACACACCGCCCGUCAAGCCAUGGAAGUCUGGGGUACCUGAAGUCGGUGACCGUAAAAGGAGCUGCCUAGGGUAAAACAGGUAACUAGGGCUAAGUCGUAACAA
rnacentral:rRNA from 1 species